GCGUUGCACUCAAAAUAGUGAUAAUUCAGGCUCAAUGUGUCUCCCAAGGAUUUCCCCAAAACAAAUUGACAAUGUAGGGGGGAAAAAGAACAGAUGAACUACAAUUUUACAUCGACUACAGUAAAGAACUGUCUAAAUUCUUUACUUCUGUUCUCCCAAGUCAGCUGAGUCAUACCUAAACUUAAUCACUCAAAUUAUCAUCAAAAAAGUUAUCAUCAUCUUCAUCAUCAUCGUUGUCGUCGUCACUGGUGCCACCAGCAUUUGCGGG
rnacentral:misc_RNA from 1 species